GGAGCAUGUGGUUUAAUUCGAUGCAACGCGAAGAACCUUACCUGGGCUUGAACUGCAGUGGACAACCUGUGAAAGCAGGUCUUCCUUCGGGACUGCUGUAGAGGUGCUGCAUGGCUGUCGUCAGCUCGUGUCGUGAGAUGUUGGGUUAAGUCCCGCAACGAGCGCAACCCUUAUCCUUAGUUGCCAUCAGAUAAUGCUGGGCACUCUAGGGAGACUGCCGAGGAUAACUCGGAGGAAGGUGGGGAUGACGUCAAGUCCUCAUGGCCCUUACGUCCAGGGCCACACACGUGCUACAAUGGCCGGUACAGUGGGCAGCAAUACCGCGAGGUGGAGCUAAUCCUCAAAACCGGUCUCAGUUCGGAUUGCAGUCUGCAACUCGACUGCAUGAAGUCGGAAUCGCUAGUAAUCGCUGAUCAGCAGGCAGCGGUGAAUACGUUCCCGGGCCUUGUACACACCGCCCGUCACGCCAUGGAAGUCGGGAGUACCUGAAGCCGGUGGCCUAACC
rnacentral:rRNA from 1 species